UACGUAUGGGGCAAGCGUUAUCCGGAUUCAUUGGGCGUAAAGCGCGCGUAGGCGGCUUGUUAAGCGAGGAGUGAAAUCUGGGGGCUCAACCCGCAGCUUGCUUCUCGAACUGGCAGGCUUGAGUCUGGUAGAGGAAAGUGGAAUUCCUGGUGUAGCGGUGAAAUGCGCAGAUAUCAGGAGGAACACCAGUGGCGAAGGCGGCUUUCUGGGCCACGACUGACGCUGAGGCGCGAAAGCUAGGGGAGCGAACAGGAUUAGAUACCCCCGUAGUCC
rnacentral:rRNA from 1 species